AGCUAGUUGGUGGGGUAAAGGCCUACCAAGGCGACGAUCCGUAGCGGGUCUAAGAGGAUGAUCCGCCACACUGGGACUGAGACACGGCCCAGACCCCUACGGGAGGCAGCAGUGGGGAAUUUUGGACAAUGGGCGCAAGCCUGAUCCAUCCAUGCCGCGUGAGUGAAGAAGGCCUUCGGGUUGUAAAGCUCUUUCGGCGGGGAAGAAAUUGCACGGGUUAAUACCCUGUGUAGAUGACGGUACCCGAAUAAGAAGCACCGGCUAACUACGUGCCAGCAGCCGCGGUAAUACGUAGGGUGCAAGCGUUAAUCGGAAUUACUGGGAGUAAAGCGUGCGCAGGCGGUUUGGUAAGUCAGAUGUGAAAUCCCCGGGCUCAACCUGGGAACUGCAUUUGAGACUGUCAAGCUGGAGUUUGGCAGAGGGGGGUGGAAUUCCACGUGUAGCAGUGAAAUGCGUAGAGAUGUGGAGGAACACCGAUGGCGAAGGCAGCCCCCUGGGCCAAUACUGACGCUCAUGCACGAAAGCGUGGGGAGCAAACAGGAUUAGAUACCCUGGUAGUCCACGCCCUAAACGAUGUCAACUAGGUGUUGGGAGGGUUAAACCUUUUAGUGCCGUAGCUGACGCGUGAAGUUGACCGCCUGGGGAGUACGGCCGCAAGGCUAAAACUCAAAGGAAUUGACGGGGACCCGCACAAGCGGUGGAUGAUGUGGAUUAAUUCGAUGCAACGCGAAAAACCUUACCUACCCUUGACAUGUCAGGAAUCCUGGAGAGAUUCGGGAGUGCUCGCAAGAGAACCUGAACACAGGUGCUGCAUGGCUGUCGUCAGCUCGUGUCGUGAGAUGUUGGGUUAAGUCCCGCAACGAGCGCAACCCUUGUCAUUAAUUGCCAUCAUUGAGUUGGUCACUUUAAUGAGACUGCCGGUGACAAACCGGAGGAAGGUGGGGAUGACGUCAAGUCCUCAUGGCCCUUAUGGGUAGGGCUUCACACGUCAUACAAUGGUCGGUCCAGAGGGUUGCCAACCCGCGAGGGGGAGCCAAUCUCAGAAAGCCGAUCGUAGUCCGGAUCGCAGUCUGCAACUCGACUGCGUGAAGUCGGAAUCGCUAGUAAUCGCGGAUCAGCAUGUCGCGGUGAAUACGUUCCCGGGUCUUGUACACACCGCCCGUCACACCAUGGGAGCGGGUUCUGCCAGAAGUAGUUAGCCUAACCGCAAGGAGGGCGAUUACCACGGCAGGGUUCGUGACUGGGGUGAAGUCGUAACAAGGUAGCCGUAGGGGAACCUGCGGCUG
rnacentral:rRNA from 1 species